rnacentral:rRNA from 1 species
UACGUAGGGGGCAAGCGUUGUCCGGAUUCAUUGGGCGUAAAGAGCGUGUAGGCGGCCAGGUAGGUCGGUUGUGAAAACUGGAGGCUCAACCUUCAGAGGUCGACCGAAACCAUCUGGCUAGAGUCCGGGAGAGGAGAGUGGAAUUCCUGGUGUAGCGGUGAAAUGCGCAGAUAUCAGGAGGAACACCGAUGGCGAAGGCAGAUCUCUGGGCCGUAACUGACGCUGAGGAGCGAAAGCAUGGGGAGCGAACAGG